GGAGAGAUGGCUCAGCAGUUAAGAGUAUUGGCUGCAAUUCCAGAGGACCUGGGUUUGAUUCCUAGCUUCCUCG
rnacentral:tRNA from 1 species